AGAUUGAAAGGGGCUGCUCCUAGUACGAGAGGACCGGAGUGGACGCACCACUGGUGUUCGGGUUGUCAUGCCAAUGGCAUUGCCCGGUAGCUAAGUGCGGAAGAGAUAACCGCUGAAAGCAUCUAAGCGGGAAACUUGCCUUGAGAUGAGUCUUCCCUGACUCUUUAAGGGUCCUAAAGGAACGUUUAAGACUAAGACGUUGAUAGGUUGGGUGUGUAAGCGUAGCGAUACGUUGAGCUAACCAAUACUAAUGAACCGUGAGGCUUAACCUG
rnacentral:rRNA from 1 species